GCAGGGAGUGUGUGGGGCAGGAUCUAAGGGUGUGCCUCUCGUAGGGGGGAGCAGAGCAGGGGGCCCAGGAGGUAUCUGGGGCAGAGGAGCAGAGCAGGGGGCUCAGGAGGUAUAUGGGGCAGAGGAGCAGAGGGUGUGUGGGGCAGAGGAGCAGAGCAGGGGGCUCAGGAGGUAUGUGGGGCAGAGGAUGUAUGGAGCAAUCAAGGUACAAUGCAGCCUGGGUAUUUAAUGCUUUUCCUUAGCAGCAAUGGAUCCUGAACAAUAGACAACCCUAAAGCUCGUGGUGAG